AUUGAACGCUGGCGGCAUGCCUUACACAUGCAAGUCGAACGGCAGCACGGGUGCUUGCACCUGGUGGCGAGUGGCGAACGGGUGAGUAAAGUAUCGGAACGUGCCUGGUAGUGGGGGAUAACUAGUCGAAAGACUAGCUAAUACCGCAUACGAUCUAAGGAUGAAAGCAGGGGACCUUCGGGCCUUGUGCUAUCAGAGCGGCCGAUAUCUGAUUAGCUAGUUGGUGGGGUAAAAGCCCACCAAGGCGACGAUCAGUAGCUGGUCUGAGAGGACGACCAGCCACACUGGAACUGAGACACGGUCCAGACUCCUACGGGAGGCAGCAGUGGGGAAUUUUGGACAAUGGGGGCAACCCUGAUCCAGCAAUGCCGCGUGAGUGAAGAAGGCCCUCGGGUUGUAAAGCUCUUUUGUCAGGGAAGAAAAGGCUGUGGCUAAUAUCCACAGCUGCUGACGGUACCUGAAGAAUAAGCACCGGCUAACUACGUGCCAGCAGCCGCCGUAACAC
rnacentral:rRNA from 1 species